AGCGGCGCAAGGGUGAGUAACGCGUAGUUACCUACCCCAGGGUCCGGGAUAGCCACGGGAAACUGUGGGUAAUACCGGAUGAUAUCUCCGGAUCAAAGGUGAGAUUCCGCCCUGGGAGGGGACUGCGUCCUACUAGCUUGUUGGUGGGGUAAUGGCCUACCAAGGCAACGAUGGGUAGCGGGCGUGAGAGCGUGGCCCGUCACACUGGGACUGAGACACUGCCCAGACACCUACGGGUGGCUGCAGUCGAGAAUCUUCGGCAAUGGGCGCAAGCCUGACCGAGCGAUGCCGCGUGCGGGAUGAAGGCCCUCGGGUUGUAAACCGCGAAAGUAGGGAGGAAGGCCCCGUGCAGAACGGGUUUUGACCGAUCUACAGUAAGGACGGGCUAAGUUCGUGCCAGCAGCCGCGGUAAUACGAACCGUCCUAACGUUAUUCGGAAUUAUUGGGCUUAAAGGGUGCGUAGGCGGCUCAGUAAGUGGGGUGUGAAAUCCCUCGGCUCAACCGAGGAAUUGCGCCCCAUACUGCUGAGCUUGAGGGAGACAGGGGUGAGCGGAACUGAUGGUGGAGCGGUGAAAUGCGUUGAUAUCAUCAGGAACACCGGUGGCGAAAGCGGCUCACUGGGUCUCUUCUGACGCUGAGGCACGAAAGCUAGGGUAGCGAACGGGAUUAGAUACCCCGGUAGUCCUAGCUGUAAACGAUGAGCACUUGG
rnacentral:rRNA from 1 species